rnacentral:rRNA from 1 species
UGAGUACGAGAUGCUACGGCAUCGAAGCAGUCUAUGUCAUACUUCCAAGAAAAGCUUGCACUGUCAGAAACAGAUAAUGCCUGUACCAUAACCGACACAGGUGGGUAGGUAGAGUAUACUAAGGGGCGCGAGAUAACUCUCUCUAAGGAACUCGGCAAAAUGACUCCGUAACUUCGGGAGAAGGAGUGCCUUAUUUUUAAGGUUGCAAUAACAAGAUCCAAGCAACUGUUUACCAAAAACACAGGUCUCCGCUAAGUCGUAAGACGAUGUAUGGGGGCUGACGCCUGCCCAGUGCCAGAAGGUUAAAGAAGUCGGUUAGCAUUCGCGAAGCUGGUAACUGAAGCCCUGGUGAACGGCGGCCGUAACAAUAACGGUCCUAAGGUAGCGAAAUUCCUUGUCGGGUAAGUUCCGACCUGCACGAAAGGCGUAAUGAUUUGGAUACUGUCUCGGAGAGGGGCUCGGUGAAAUAGACUUGUCUGUGAAGAUGCGGACUACCUGCACCUGGACAGAAAGACCCUAUGAAGCUUUACUGUAACUUGAAAUUGAAAUUGGACUUUAUUUGCGCAGUAUAGGUGGGAGGCGUUGAAAAUAUUCUUGCGGGAAUAUUGGAGCCAUCAGUGAGAUACCACUCUUGUAAUGUUAGAUUUCUAACUUUAUAUCAUUAUCUGGUUAAAGAACAGUUUCAGGCGGGCAGUUUGACUGGGGCGGUCGCCUCCCAAAUGGUAACGGAGGCGCACAAAGGUUUCCUCUGAACGGGUAGAAAUCGUAUCUAGAGUGUAAAGGCAUAAGGAAGCUUGACUGUGAGACCUACAAGUCGAGCAGGGACGAAAGUCGGUCUUAGUGAUCUGACGGUGCUGAGUGGAAAGGCCGUCACUCAACGGAUAAAAGUUACUCUAAGGAUAACAGGCUGAUCUCCCCCAAGAGUUCACAUCGACGGGGAGGUUUGGCACCUCGAUGUCGGCUCAUCGCAUCCUGGGGCGGUAGUACGUCCCUAGGGUUGGGCUGUUCGCCCAUGAAAGCGGUACGCGAGCUGGGUUCAGAACGUCGUGAGACAGUUCGGUCCAUAUCCGGUGUAGGCGUUAGAAUAUUGAGAGGAGCCUUCUUUAGUACGAGAGGACCGAGAAGGACAUACCUCUGGUGUACCAGUUAUCGUGCCAACGGUAAACGCUGGGUAGCUAUGUAUGGAGUGGAUAACCGCUGAAAGCAUCUAAGUGGGAAGCCCACCUCAAGAUAAGUAUUCUC